GACGAACGCUGGCGGCAUGCCUAAUACAUGCAAGUAGAACGCAGUUGCGAACGGGUGAGUAACGCGUAGGUAACUUCCUCAUAGCAGGGGAUAACUAAUGGAAAAGAUAGCCAAUUCCGCCUUCUGUGAGCUAGAUCGGAUUUGUAUUAGCUAGUUGGUGAGGUAAAGGCCCACAAAGGCGACGAGCCAUUGCCGACCUGAGAGGGUGUUUGGCCAAACUGGGACGUGGACACGGCCCAGACCCCUAAUGGAGGCAGCAGUAGGGAAUCUGUGGCAAUGGGCGGAAGGCUGACCGAGGAACGCCGCGUGAGGGAAGAAGGUUUUCGGAUCGUAAAGCUCUGUUGUUAGAGAAGCGGUAACUAACCAGAAAGGUACGGCUAACUACGUGCCAGCAGCCGCGGUAAUUC
rnacentral:rRNA from 1 species